UACGAAGGGUGCAAGCGUUCCUCGGAAUUACUGGGCGUAAAGCGUGCGCAGGCGGUUUUGUAAGCCAGAUGUGAAAGCCCCGGGCUUAACCUGGGAAUGGCAUUUGGGACUGCAAGGCUCGAGUGCGGCAGAGGAGACUGGAAUUCCUGGUGUAGCAGUGAAAUGCGUAGAUAUCAGGAGGAAUACCGAUGGCGAAGGCAGGUCUCUGGGCUGACACUGACGCUCAUGCACGAAAGCGUGGGGAGCAAACAGG
rnacentral:rRNA from 1 species